UAAAAUCUGUGUUGCUUCUACAGUCUGC
rnacentral:piRNA from 1 species